GGCAAUUAUGCCAUUUGUCCUAAGUGAGGCGGCAUAAACAUAAAAAUCUGAGAUUUUUUUAUGUGUUAAAAUAUAUAUAUUAAAUUAUUAUUAUAUUAUAUUAUAUAAAUAAGUAAAGAAACAUAAGAAACAGAAUGAAAGCAAACGAAACAGAGAAGAAACAGGGGAGAAAGAAAGAAAGAAAAAGAAAAAGGAAAAUUUGGGUUUCAAGGCUCAAAGUUUAAUUUGUCAAUGUGGUACCAGAAAUCUCGGCUAAGAAAGGACAAGACAAAGUCAACGGGAGUUAGCUCGAAAAUUACGGUUUGUAUUUCUAUAAUCCGAACCUAAUACUUAAUUGUUGAAUUUAUUUCUUAAUAUGUAUAUUAAGUGUUUUGAAGUAAGAAUUAUUGUGUUUUGCAAAUGAAAUGGAUUGAUAUAGUAUGUGAUGAAA